UACGGGGGGAGCAAGCGUUGUUCGGAUUUACUGGGCGUAAAGGGCGCGUAGGCGGUCAGCACAAGUCAGUUGUGAAAUCUCCGGGCUUAACUCGGAAAGGUCAACUGAUACUGUGCGACUAGAGUGCAGAAGGGGCAACUGGAAUUCUCGGUGUAGCGGUGAAAUGCGUAGAUAUCGGGAGGAACACCAGUGGCGAAGGCGACUACCUGGCCUGUUUCUUGACGCUGAGGCGCGAAAGCUAGGGGAGCAAACGGG
rnacentral:rRNA from 1 species